UUCUAAUAUGGCAGAAUAGUGCAUUGGAUUUAAACCCCAAAAAUAAAGUUUAAACUUUUUUUAGAAA
rnacentral:tRNA from 1 species